AUGGACGGACGUGGCCUGUGUGCUGAUGAGGAGGGCCGUUUAGGGUACGACAAGCAGUUGUUCCUGCUUCAGCCCCAGUCAGUGGACUUGACUGGACACCUUUUUUACCAGUCGGUUCUACAGGCAUGGCAGAUCUUGUCAGUUAAGCGGACAUCUGUGACGACUCUGGGGAUGUGGCUUUUUGAAGAGCCGCUGUUCGGAAACAGCUACAUCAUGUCCCAGGUCUUGACGUCCGUAAGCAUCAAAUCCAGACUGAGGGAGGCCGGCUGUGUGAAGCUGGGUCAUCUAGUGAAGACCUCCAUCCCUCAUCUAGCGGAGCUGAGCGGCGUCCGGUCCGGCAGACUGCUGCGCAGGCUGGUGGAGGAGGUCUGGGCUUCCCUGCCGGAAGUCUUUAGAGACUUUGUCAGAGAUCGGACAAUAUCUGACCAAUGGGACGAUGAAGGGGAGUACCUCUUCCCACCGCUGGAGGUCUGUCCUGCUGUAGGGCAGUGGAAGGAUGAGGAGGACCUCCUGCUGUCUCUAAAUACUCCACAGUUGGGGGACUUUGAAGGUCUGGGGAGGAAAGCUGCAUACCAAGUAAGUGUGAAGGUCUCUUGCUUGCGUGCGUUGGCCGGAGUGAAGGUUUCGAGGUGGACUGAGUUUUUUGGCAGGGGAUCCUCCCCGGAGUGUUGUUGGCGGUCCCUGUACAAAUCCCCGGUGGACAAACGGACUGGGGACCUCCAGUGGAGGAUAGUACAUGGGGCCAUAGCUACUAACAGGUAUCUGGUACACCUCAAUCCUGGCUUAGGAGAUAGUUGUCCCUUCUGCUCUCGGCCAGAAAACGUCCACCACCUCGUUGUUGAGUGCUCCAGACUAGACUUUCUCUCUCUCUCUGUAGCUCGGCAUCCUGACUGGAACUACCAGGUGAAACUCCUUACCAAGCGGCCCUGGAAGCAAUCAGCUGGUUGGAGCAAAAGGGGAAUAAAAGGCUAUGGAAGCCAGGAAGAGCAGGAUGAGCUGGCAGUUGAAGGCAUGCAACUUGCAGAGAGUGUUUAA
ensembl:lncRNA